UCCACCGCCCCUCCCCCAACCAAUCUUGCCCACACCGCAGAUGCCUCCUCCGCCCCCAAAUGACGGAGACCGGGACGCCGGCGCCCUAACCCGCGUCUCCUUCCACCUCCCCCAGCUCAUCUUCUCGUCGUCCGCUUUGGAGGAGCCUCCUUUGGCGCGCCACCGUGGUCGGGCUGCGGCGACCACCAGAGGUCCACCGCCGGCGGGAGCUCCAUCCUUCUCCACUACGAGGCACCAGCAGAGGGGGACGACUCCUCCUUCCAUCCCUAGCUGCGGUGUCCAACCUCUAACGCCGAUUGAUCCCCUCUAAAAGUAGCAUCUUCUUCUUCCUCCGGUUCUUCUUCUUCCCCGGAUCUGAUGCGUGUGUGUGUUCGCGUGGUUGUGUGCAGGUAGUUGAAGGAAGGUGGUGGGCCAUGGAGAAGCUGCAAGGUGUGGGCCUGAAGCCAUGGAUGGAUGUGUUUGGUAUGAGGAUAGCGGACGGCGAGGAGGCACCGAACCGAGCGGCGGGCAAGGAUGAUGUGAAGCUGCGCGCACGGUCGUCCUAUCCCUCCUCCGCCUGCUGUUACUGGAAGCAAGCGCGGUACCAUCUCAUCUCAUCCACGAGAUAUUUUUGGCUUACAUGAAGGGAUGCAUGCUCUUCAUCUUGCAGGGACGGAGGGCAAUGGAUAAAAUCUAGAUGCCAAGUUGACUUUUUUCCUGCUGAUUUGCUUAUCGUGAAGAUGCACAAAGGGUUAAUAGCUCAAGCAUUGGAUGUUGGCAAAACAGAAGUUCCUUCACCAAAGGAAGAAAGUAGUUCCACCGAUUCGGAAGCUACUAGAGAUACUGAAAACUUUGAAAUUAGUGGUAAUGACGACAAUGAUCGUAAUCACAAGCACCGAAGACCACUGCCACAUUCUUUCACUAUAGUCUUAUCUCAAUCACAGCAUUGAAAUAGUAUGAUCUAUUACUUCACAUUUUUUGUAUCAUGAGGACCACGGCCACGUUGUGCCAAUAUAUGGGUAGCCUUGAAAGGUGUCCUCUUAAGUGUAGUUACCAUUAAUGAUUUGAGUUGUAAUUAAUGUUAUUACACUCCAAAAUCCUAACUGAGUAGCGUCAAUGAGUGUCAGAUUCAGA